GUACCUUUUGCUCAGCUACUUGACCCCAGCGUCAGGAAUGGCGAGGCUGGUCUGCGGUUCCCACUAUCAAACUAUGAAUUUCAGUGUUACCAACUUUAUCCUGGAAGCCCAGUUGGCCAGCUUAUUUCACCUAGCUCAGGCAUAUCUGGAUCAGGCACGUCAUCUCCGUUCCCCGAUGGAGAGUUUGCUGCUGGUGGCGCUCACUUUCUUGAUUUCCGAAUGGCUAACCCUCCAAAACUCUUGAACCUUGAUAAGCUUUCCACUCAUGAAUGGGGAUCGCGCCAAGGUUCAGGAACUUUGACCCCAGAUGCUGCAAGGCCCACAUCUUGCAGCUUUCCUCUGGAUUGUCAAUUUUCUGAUUUCAUAUCACAUUCACAUUCAGACAAUGGCAAGCAGAAUGAUGAAGUUGCCGUUCGUAGAGUCUCAUUUGAAUUAACUGAUGAAGAUGUUUUGAGAUGUGUGGAACAGAAGCCAUCAUCCCCUGUGAAAGUCAUUCCAGAUUCCAUGGAAAAUGGAAUAGCAGCUGGUAGAGAAGAAAAUUCCACUGAAAUAGUCAACAAUUUUGAGUCCCGUGUUGUCAAAACAUCUAAUGACACCCGAGAGAAAGCUUCAACAGGUGAGGAAAAGGUAACACAACAUCAGAAACAUCGGUCCAUAACUCUUGGAUCUCUCAAAGAAUUCAACUUUGAUAAUGCUGAUGG
rnacentral:misc_RNA from 1 species